UGCAAUGAAUGGAAUGGGAUGGAACUGUUCAAAAAUUUGCGCAUGUUUGCUCGAAGGAGAAAACUGUUCAAGCCUAAAGCGUUCUCCUAGACUUAUAAAUAGACACCGUUUCCUUAACCAAUGAAAAUAAGUGAUGACGCUGAUGUAUUCCUUUUUGAAAAGAAAGUGAGGCUUUACUGCAUGUCCGCUGCAGCUGAGAAUCCUAAGACAAUAAAGAUUAUAUUGACGUCCAAUGGUGAGUUGGGCUGAAAUCCAGGUUACUAAUCCUAUUAUUUAUUUAUUUAUUGUUAUUAUUAUUAUCUUUUUUUUUCUUUAGGCUAACUUGCUCAGUUAACUAUGUUCUACAGUAGUUUAGUAAAUUUUCCACAGUUCUGACAUUUCAUCAAUUCAACUGGUUGUUGCCAAAAAGCCUUGUUCAUUACCUGACUGCAGCAAGCACUCUUUUACUGUGUGUAACCAUAGGAAACAGUCUCUUUUGAGCCUCUCUUUGUAAGUCCAGGAUGACCACCGUCAUUGAUUAAAGUUCACAUGUUAGCACACAUGCUCCUCCCCUUUUGUACUUUGUUUCAUCAGCAGCAGGGCAAAUAAGUUUCUGCCUCUUUGUCCAUCUUGUAGUGCUCCCCGUCUUGAUGUUAUAAGUCACAGCUUUUGGUGAGGGCUUCCAGGUUCUCUUUGUAUAGAAGUCAGACCCAAACAUUCUUUGCAGCUGGUUGUGACAGGCCCACCCAGUAAAGUUCAUGCCCGCCACAAUGCACAGCAAACGUUUUCCUUAAAUAUGUUGAUUGGGUUGAAAUGACAGAACUUUCUCUUUUACAAAUCAAAAUUAACGAUGGUUUCUAAUAAUUAGUCGACUUUAUUGACUCAAAGGUAAAUCUGAACUACUUCCUAUGCAAAAUUUGUUCUGAAUCAUCAAAUCAGUUCUACACAGGUUUUAAACAUUAGGCACAAUCUAUCCCAAAUGCAAGAUCCCUUCUUUCAUUUUUUUAUUUAUCUAUUUUAUUUUGGGAAAAUAACUACCAGUUUUAACUCAAAACAGCCUGGUACAGUUUCUAGCCAGGUUACAGGAAAUAGUACUUAGUUUAUCUGUUUUUUCAUUAUUCAGCGUCUCAAAAUCCAGCCAUUAACGUUAAUGGUUCUUAAAGUUGAGGCAAGACAAUUAUUGGAUUUUGUGUUAUAGCAAGAUUUAACAAAUAUUUUAUUUCCUGACUGAUUAUUUGUUAAUUUUAUGGUUUUCAUAAAGAUGAUCCUGAGAAGUUCAGAGCUGCUUUUCGCAGCACCCUGUGCUAUUUUUAGACUAUGGGAUUCUUGUGUGUAAAAGUGAGUGGAGUCAGGUCCCCAGGCUGAAACUCCAGUCAUUCUCACUAGAUCUGUCCGAGAGGAAGGAUCUCCUGAAUACCCUAACCAGAAGCCUUAAGUCUCUUGAACUAAAUAACCGUCUAGCAAAAACAUGGACCGCACCCUGUUUCUCAAGCAGCUGCUCCCUCUAUUAAAAACUGCGUCAUUCAGGAGAAGAUCCAGCGAAAGCAGCAUUUACUUCUCAUGCAAGAAGACACACAUUCACUCACUCACACAACGGCACAGACGACAUUCUUUCUGUUUGUCAAAGUCUUUUAAACAAAAGUAAGUCAGUCCGUCACUUAUUUAUUCUCUUUAUAUAUUUAUAUAUAAUAUUUUAAGCACAGAAUUUAAGUAACACUGCACUGGUUAUUUUCAGAAUUUAAUGCUUACUAUGCUUUUAAGCAGGCCUUAUGUAACAUUAGAGCAAAUCCAAUUGCAAUUUUUGAGAGCGCUCUGAGAAACAGUUUGUAUAUUUAUUUUCUGCAGAUCUGUUUCGAUUUUACUGUUUAGCAGCUAUCUGACUUUAUGUAUAUGUAUAUCCAUAUAUUUCUAAAAUAAAGCUGUCAUAUACAACCUUA